AAUUUACACACUAAUAUUUCCGUGCGCAUUUAGUUAUAUGCUUCAUGACAGAAUCCUAUUACGCUCAUGUGUAGCAGGAUUUUGUGUUGAUGUGUUUUGCUUGAAUAUUAUGAAUAUUUCAACUAACAGUAGAUAAAAUCCUGUUGCUAACACGUUAGUAAAAGGGGUUUUGCGCACACGAUGCACAACCUCACACCUAGUGCUCAAAACAAGCCCAUUUACUAACUAGUUAGCAAAA